rnacentral:rRNA from 1 species
UACGGAGGGAGCUAGCGUUGUUCGGAAUUACUGGGCGUAAAGCGCGCGUAGGCGGCUUUGUAAGUUAGAGGUGAAAGCCCGGGGCUCAACUCCGGAACUGCCUUUAAGACUGCAUCGCUAGAAUCCGGGAGAGGUGAGUGGAAUUCCGAGUGUAGAGGUGAAAUUCGUAGAUAUUCGGAAGAACACCAGUGGCGAAGGCGACUUACUGGACGACUGUUGACGCUGAGGUGCGAAAGCGUGGGGAGCAAACAGG